AUUGAACGCUGGCGGCAUGCCUUACACAUGCAAGUCGAACGGCAGCACGGGUGCUUGCACCUGGUGGCGAGUGGCGAACGGGUGAGUAAUACAUCGGUACAUGUCCUUUAGUGGGGGAUAGCCCUGCGAAAGCCGGAUUAAUACCGCAUACGAUCUACGGAUGAAAGCGGGGGACCUUCGGGCCUUGCGCUGUAGGGUUGGCCGAUGGCGGAUUAGCUAGUUGGUGGGGUAAAGGCCUACCAAGGCGACUAUCAGUAGCUGGUCUGAGAGGACGACCAGCCACACUGGGAGUGAGACACGGACCAGACUACUGAGGGAGGCAGCAGUGGGGAAUGUUGGACAAUGGGCGAAAGCCUGAUCCAGCAAUGGCGAGUGUGUGAAGAAGGCGUUCGGGUUGUAAAGCACUUUUUUCCGGAAAGAAAUCCUUGGCCCUAAUACGGUCGGGGGAUGACGGUACCGGAAGAAGAAGCACCGGCUAACUACGUG
rnacentral:rRNA from 1 species